rnacentral:tRNA from 1 species
GCCGGUGUAGCUCAGCAGGUAGAGCAACUGACUUGUAAUCAGUAGGUCGUGGGUUCGAUUCCUAUCGCCGGCACCA